UACAGAGGUCUCAACCGUUGUUCGGAUUCAUUGGGCGUAAAGGGUGCGUAGGCGGUCGGGUAAGUCGGAUGUGAAAUCUCAGGGCUCAACCCUGAAACUGCAUUCGAUACUGCCUGGCUAGGGUACUGGAGAGGAGACUGGAAUUUACGGUGUAGCAGUGAAAUGCGUAGAUAUCGUAAGGAAGACCAGUGGCUGAAGGCGAGUCUCUGGACAGUUACCGACGCUGAGGCACGAAGGUCAGGGGAGCAAACGGG
rnacentral:rRNA from 1 species